ensembl:lincRNA
GAUCCUUGUAAUUUACAAUUUUAUUCACAUUUCCAUGAUUAUACAAUUAAGAUGAACUGCAUCUUGCUCAUUUUUUUUCCUUUGUAACAGAAACCCCAAAUCUAGUGAUUGAAGCAGGUUUUACUUUUCUUGCACAUGAGAGGUGGGUCGUCCAGAGGGCUGUGGUAGCUCCCUGUGCUCCUGGCAUCCAGAUUCCUUUCUUUCCAUUCAUUCCCAUAGCAUGUGCUUCUGACUGCCUUGUCACUACUGGCUGGGUGGUUUCAAACAUGAUGGUCUCAUUCCAGACAAGAUGAAGUAAAGAGAACAAGAUGUGGGCAGAGUUGAGAGGGGCACACUGGUCUUUAUCUGUUGUCAAAACCAUGGAGACGAGCACACCGAGCAUGCAUCAUGUGUUUGAAAAGCGCACAAGCAGACUUGGACAGCUACUACCAAGCUCUCCAACUGCUCUGGCCAAGGCUCAGUGAUUAGCAGCUGAAAAGCAAGAAUGAAACCCAGUGUGUAGCAGCAUACAAAGAAUCAGCUUCAAAGACUAAACACCUAGCCAAGAUAUAUCUGGUAUGUCCAGGCCAGAGCUGUUGGGAAGGUACAGAACCUAGAUAGGCUCAUCUACAUGUGAUGCCUCUGGAAAACUUCAAUUCCUACCCUAGUGCUCAAAAUAGGUACCAGACCAAAGUAAUCUACCUCACAGAGAUGGAGACAUCCCUGGGUCCAUCAGCAUGAUCUGUCAGGUCUGAUCUAGCUAUUGCUGCCACCUAGUGGCCGUCUUCCUUUAAUGGAGGCUGAAAUCUAAAUGCUAAGCAUGGUAGGUUCCUUGAGGCCAGGGAACCACGGAGAAGCUGGAGAUCAACUUACAUUUGAGAAGGUUCAGGAAUGUGUUCUAAAGGAACUAGACUUGAAUUUCAUGUGUUUGAUUCUUCCUGCCUGCCUCACGAGCACCACCAUUUGUGAACUAGGAUUGUGGUCUGCAUGUCAAACGGGCCACUUCAAAGGCAAGAGUGUGGGAAAUUGGAACUAUGACCACAGGCCUCUUCUAUCAUGUGCCUCACCUAAGCUUCUGCAUUAGAAGUCUUUGCAAUGGUCUAACGAAGGUACAUGUGAAGUCUUAGCACACAGGUAACACUCAAAAGUAGCAUAUACACACUGAAGAUGAAAGAUUAUGUGGUUCUUCUGCAAGGGGCGGAGUCACUCAGGGCCCUUUUGGGCUCUGCAAAUGUAGAGGCCCAGAUUUCCAAAGACAGAAGCAUUUCUGCAAAGGAAAGUGCCUAUUUGAAUUACAAGAUUUAUUUGCCAUAAUGGCUCUGUAUAUCUAGAAGAGCCAUCGGUUUAGUUAAUGGAAUUGACUGUCAUCAUUCAGUGAAAGAUUGGAACUUGGUUCCUAAAAGAACAAAUUGGAAUAUGAUGUGCAUCCACUUGUGCAUCUGGCCCACUUUCUAUGGCAACUGGACAGCAGACUCGUUUUCUAAAAGGGGUACAGUACCAGAUACCAGUCCUUUCAAAGUUGGAGGUUUGGGUUUCACUCAGUGCAGUGUCACUGAAACCCACAUUAAGAGCUAAGGGGAGGGCUGGUGAGAUGUUUCUCAUUUUCUACUUAGUUGACAGCUUUAUCACUUUUCUUUUUUCUAUUUAGGGAUUAAUUCGAUCAUUUCCUAGUUUCAGGUAGCAGCUUACAGCAUUGAUUUCAUGUUCUCCUCCUUAGUGUAAAAGUUGUUCUCUAUCCUUUGGGGCACAUCCUUUUCUGGAAGCUUUGAAACUUUUUAUUGUUUUACUUCAAAAUUGUUUUCUGGACAAAUCUCAUUUCUUCUUUGAUGCAUGUGUUACUUAGAAGUAUGCUGUUUAAUUUCAGCAUAUUGGUGAGGCUAUUCCAGGUAUCUUUCUACAUUCCUCUCUAAAAGUUUCCUACAAACUUAUUCUGACUUCCUGUCAUCCAACAUAUGGUCUACCUUGAAUACGCCACAUUCAUUGUCUAGAGUGUUCUAUAAAUGUCAACUAGAUCAAGUUAGUUGAAUGUUGCUUAUAAUAAGUAUGUAUUUAGUGAUUUGUGUGUGUGUAGAUGGUGUUGACACAUUCAACCUUUUAGAUUUCUGGAAGAUGUUUUUAUUCUUUUUAAAUAAAUUUUGAUGUGUAUGCAUGUUUGCCAUGAAGGCCAGAACAGGGUGUUGGAAUCCCUGCAAUUGGAGUCACAGACUAGUCUUUUGUUGUUGUUUUUUGAGACAAGGUAUCACUGUAUAGUCCUGGCUGUCCUGGCCUCCAAUUCACAGAGAUCCUCUGCCUCCCAGUGCUGGGAUUAAAGGCAUGCACCACCUUGGCCCUUUGUAAGAGCAGUCAAGCGCUCCUAACUGCUGAGCCAUCUCUCCAGGCUGACAUUACUUCUAUUAAGAGUUUAACUAGAGAUAUCUUGACAUCACAUGAUAAGGUCCCACAUCAAUCUACAUGGCCUAGAUUGUGUUCUAUGCUCCCGCAGGACAACACACACCUGGUCACACGGGGAGUUUGGGACAAAGCUCUACAAGCCUGCAAAUCAGCAUUAACCUCCUGCACUGCAGAAGUUUACAUGGGUCCCAUUAUGGAAAACUCACAAGUGAGUGCAGACAGGAAUGGGACUAUCGUCCCACCACUGUUAUUUAUCCCCUCCUCUUCUCCUUGGUUGCUGUGCACACCCAAAAAAUGUAAUCAUUUUUUAAAGAGAGAGAAACUAUGGGGCAUGUACAAACUCAUGGCUACUGCACCCACCAUGCUGGAUGCUGAACGAAUAACUGAGACCAGGAAGGAAAAUUUUAAAAAGUCCUAGAGAAAAAUGAAAACACAACAUUCCAAAAUCCAUGGAAAAAUUAUGAAGGUGGUCUUAAGAGGGCAGUUUACAGCUAUUGGUGCCUCCAGUAAGAAGUUAAAGACAUAGCAAAUGAAUUUACUUAAUGAUACAACUUAGGGCCUUGGAAAAAAAAAAAAAAUCAAAUCCCAAUUGCUCCAUGGGAAAAAAUAGUGCCAUCAGGGAAGAAAUCAAUGAAAUAGAAACAAUAACAAAAUACUAGGAGUCAAUGAAACAAAAAUUUGGUUAAACAGCUAGAUGCAGUUAUUAAACCCUCAGCUACACUAAAAGAAGAAAUAGGAAUUAGAGAGAGAGAGAAGGAGAGGAGAGGAGAGGAGAGGAGAGGAGAAAGAGACCCAUUGGUUGUGGCCCACUCUGGAAGCAGAGGUGGGUAGGUGAAUCUCUGUGAGUUUAAGGCCAGCCUAUUCUACAAAGUGAGUUCCAGGACAGGUAUGGUACACACAGAGAACUUCUGUCUCAACAAAGCAAAAUAAAUUAGAAGAAAGGGGGGCCAUUACAAGAGACACUGAUGAAAUGUGUAACAUCAUUGGGUCUUACCUUAAAAAGUAACAUCCCACUAAGUUGGAGAAGCUGAAAGAAAUGGGUGAAUUUAUAGAUGCAUAUGCCCUACAAAAAUAACAUGAAGAUAAGCAAUUAUGAUUACAUUAAUAAUUCAAAAUCUCAAAAAAAAAAAAUUCCCAGGUCUGGAUGAAUCCACUAGUGAAUUUUAUCAGACUUUCCAAGAACUAAAACCAGUGUUCCUCCAAAUAUUCCAUAGGCUAGAAAAGGAAGAAACAUUAACAAACUCCUUUACGAUGCUAUUAGCCUGAUACUGAACCAAGAUGAACAAAAAACUCUAGAUCAAUUUCCCUGAUGAACAUAGACACAAAGAUUAUCAACAAACUACUUGCAAACAGAAUUCAAAAAUACAUUUAAAAAGAUCAUUCACAACCAUGAAGCUAGUUUUAGUCCGGAGUCUCAAGUGCACUCAGAAUAGAAGGAACAUACCUCAGUAUCAAAAGUGACAUGACAAGACUGUAUUUUGUUAAUAUAAUCCAAAGGUGUCCAUUUUCUGUACUCUUAUUCAAUCAUACUAGAAGUCUUAAACUAAAGCCACAACCUAAGCUGACAAAUAAAAAAAAAAAAAAACAGGAAAGAAGUCCAAACACCUCUAUUUCUAGAUGGUAUGAUUCUAUACACAAAAGACUAUAAAGAAACUACUAAAAAAAAAAACCUCUUAAAACUGUUGAACACAGGGCUGGAGAGAUGGCUCAGCGGUUAAGAGCACUGACUACUCUUCCAGAGGUCCUGAGUUCAAUUCCCAGCAACCACAUGGCGGCUCACAACCAUCUGUAAUGGAACCAGAUGCCCUCUUCUAGUGUGUCUGAAGACAGCUACAAUGGACUCAUAAAUAAAAUAAACAAAUAUAAAAAU